UUGUUUUUUAUUUUUAUUAUAUUUUAUGUAAAAUGGUGCAUACGUGAAAAAGUAGUGUCCCAAAUAGUAAUUGGGGUGGACGUACGAAAAGUGAAAUAAGUUUUGUAAAGAGUAAAAGAGAAGGCCGAAAUCUUAUAAAGUAAAAAAUAAAACAAUGGGUGUGCUUAAAAUGUAGAGGGAAAUUAAAAAAGGGCAAACAUUGAAUAAAACAGUGAGCGGUGCAUGUGUACUAUGGGGGUGUAGGAAGUAAUAUUCCAAGGGUGUGGAGUGAAAACAGGGUGCGGCGAGUAAAAUCAAAACACACAGGGGCACAGGAUUAAUAAAUACGAGGGUGCGCAAAGUAAAGACAGACAGACCCUAAAAAUAAAAUGAAACACACAAGGGUGGGGUUAAAAAAUAUGGGGCUGCAUGAAGUAAAUAAAAAUGGCGAAGAUAAAAUAAAUGGAAUGCACAAACUGGACAUGGGAGGUGCAGGAAGUAAAAUGAGAAUGGCCCAAUUCCUUUUUCCUUCUUUUUCUUCACGCAUGGGGCAGCCUCCUUCUGGCUCCAUCUUCCAUAUUGUGACCAUCCCUGCGAAACCAGAGAAGCUACGGUGCAAUAUAAGCAUAUAACAGAGGCAAUAUAAUGAAGACUUGUUUUACAGGUUCACUCAAAAUGGUCUAAGUUCACUUCCCCUUUAAGAAAACCUAAAUUCUUGUUUAAAAGCAUUUCUAAUUUCCUGCACAGAUUGAGACUUACAAGCAUUUCUAUCUUCCUUUUUUAUCAUAAUCAAAAAGUAAAAAGAAAUACUCCCUCUCAAAUGGUUCUCCCCCUCAACACAAGAAUAGAUGUAAUUUAAGAAAAUGAGAGUUUAUUCAUUGAUGCAAAGGGAAUUACAACACAAUAAGAAAAGACAACAAUGAACCCAAUUUAAAACAACAACUAAUCUAAAAAGUUGAACUUGGGGAUUGGUUUGGAGGUUGAAGAUU
rnacentral:lncRNA from 1 species